rnacentral:rRNA from 1 species
UACGUAGGGGGCAAGCGUUGUCCGGAAUCAUUGGGCGUAAAGCGCGCGUAGGCGGCCCCGGUAAGUCCGCUCUGAAAGUCCAGGGCUCAACCCUGGAAAGCGGGUGGAUACUGCCGGGCUAGAAUCCGGAAGAGGCGAGUGGAAUUCCUGGUGUAGCGGUGGAAUGCGCAGAUAUCAGGAGGAACACCAAUAGCGAAGGCAGCUCGCUGGGACGGUAUUGACGC